GGUUUUUAGUAUUUAUUAAAAAUCAAUCCUGCUCAAUGCAAAUGUAAAUAGCCGCGGUAUUUUGACCGUGCAAAGGUAGCAUAAUCAUUAGCCUUAUAAUUGAAGGCUGGAAUGAAAGGAUUAACCAUAUUAUUCUGUCUUAUAAUAAUAUUUUUAAUUUUAUAUUUUAGUAAAAAAGCUAAAAUAAUUUUUAAAGACGAGAAGACCCUAUCGAGCUUUAUAAAUUAAUUUUAUUUUUCUUAAAAUAAGAAUACUUUAUUUAACUGGGGCAGUGAAUAAAAAAUUAUUAUUUAUAAAUUGUGAAUAUUUUUCUUGUCAAACCAAAAAAUUUUUAAACAAAAUUAAGUUACCGUAGGGAUAACAGCGUAAUUUUUCUUUAGAGAACAUAUUAACAGAAAAGUUUGCGACCUCGAUGUUGGAUUAAGAAACCUAUUUUACGCAAUAGUAAAAUAAGGAAGUCUGUUCGACUUUUAAUUUCUUCCA
rnacentral:rRNA from 1 species